rnacentral:rRNA from 1 species
GACAGAGGAGCCAAGCGUUGUCCGGAUUGACUGGGCGUAAAGCGUCCGCAGGCGGCUGGGCACGUGGGGUGUGAAACCGCUCGGCUUAACCGAGCGCCGCCACCUCAUACGGCCCGGCUCGAGCGCGGGAGAGGUCUGUGGAAUUGCCGGUGUAGUGGUGAAAUGCGUAGAGAUCCGGAGGAACCCCAGAGGCGAAGGCGGCGUCCUGGCCCAUUUCUGACGUUCAGACAUGGACAGCAUGGGGGAGCGAACGGG